rnacentral:rRNA from 1 species
AGAGUUUGAUCCUGGCUCAGGAUGAACGCUAGCGGGAGGCCUAACACAUGCAAGUCGAACGGGAUUGAGAGCUUGCUCUCAUGAGAGUGGCGCACGGGUGAGUAACGCGUGGAUAAUCUACCUUGGAAUCUGGGAUAACAUUUCGAAAGGGGUGCUAAUACCGGAUAAGACCACGAGCUCUUUGGAGUUUGCGGUAAAAGGGGGCCUCUGUAUAUGCUUCUGUUUCAAGAUGAGUCCGCGUACCAUUAGCUAGUUGGCAGGGUAAUGGCCUACCAAGGCGACGAUGGUUAGCUGGUCUGAGAGGAUGAUCAGCCACACUGGAACUGAGACACGGUCCAGACUCCUACGGGAGGCAGCAGUGGGGAAUUUUGCGCAAUGGGGGAAACCCUGACGCAGCAACGCCGCGUGAGUGAUGAAGGCCUUCGGGUCGUAAAGC